UACGUAGGGAGCAAGCGUUGUCCGGAAUCAUUGGGCGUAAAGCGUCCGCAGGUGGCGAUGUAAGUCUGCUGUUAAAGAGUGAGGCUCAACCUCAUAAGAGCAGUGGAAACUACAUAGCUAGAGUGCGGUAGGGGCAGAGGGAAUUCCUGGUGUAGCGGUGAAAUGCGUAGAGAUCAGGAGGAACACCGGUGGCGAAAGCGGCUUCCUGGCCCGACAUUGACGCUCAUGUACGAGAGCGUGGGGAGCAAACAGG
rnacentral:rRNA from 1 species